rnacentral:rRNA from 1 species
AUUGAACGCUGGCGGCAGGCCUAACACAUGCAAGUCGAACGAGUGGCGGACGGGUGAGUGAUUUCUGGGAAACUGCCCGAUGGAGGGGGAUAACUACUGGAAACGGUAGCUAAUACCGCAUACCAUCGGAUGUGCCCAGAGGGGAUGAGCUAGUAGGUGAGGUAACGGCUCACCAAGGCGACGAUCCCUAGCUGGUCUGAGAGGGUGACCGGCCACACUGGAACGGAGACACGGUCCAGACUCCUACGGGAGGCAGAAGUGGGGAAUAUUGCGCAAUGGGCGCAAGCCUGAUGCAGCAAUGCCGCGUGUAUGAAGAAGGCCUUCGGGUUGUAAAGUACUUUCAGCGAGGAGGCGUUACCCGCAGAAGAAGCAACGGCUAACUCCGUGCCAGCAGCCGCGGUAAUAC